rnacentral:rRNA from 1 species
UAGUAGCGGCGAGCGAAGAGGGAAGAGCCCAGCACCGAACCUCGCGCCCUCGGGUGUCGCGGAAUGUGGUGUUCAGGAGGACCGUGCGCGUCUGUCCGGUAUCGUCCAAGUCUCCAUGAAUGGGGCCAGCAACCCAGAGAGGGUGUCAGGCCCGUGGGACGAGCCGCGACCGUGUAUUGGGUCUCUCCUUAGAGUCGGGUUGCUUGAGAGUGCAGCCCUAAGCGGGAGGUAAACUCCUUCUAAGGCUAAAUACGGCCACGAGACCGAUAGCAAACAAGUACCGCGAGGGAAAGUUGAAAAGAACUUUGAAGAGAGAGUUCAAGAGUGCGUGAAACCGUUCAGGGGGUUAAACGGGUGGGCCCUCGAAGGUCGAACGGUCCCCACUCCCGUCACCUGUAGUGCCGGCCCGUGCUGCUUUUCGAUUCCGCUACGGAACGAGGCUUGGUGCGGUUCGCCGGUCUACGGGGGCCGCUAGCUGGGGACCCAGUAGGACUCCGCAACCGGCUGGGAGGCCGUCAGAAGGGUUCUGUGAGGAAGCCCCCUCGUUGGGGUGGAUUCCGGGAUUCCGGGCGGUCCUCUCGGCCGUGAACCAAAAUUUCUCUCCUCACGGGGAGAAUGAGCGGAGAGUAGAGUCGGGUCCCACCCGACCCGUCUUGAAACACGGACCAAGGAGUCUAACAUGUGCGCGAGUCGUCGGGUACUACUAAACCCGAAGGCGUAAUGAAAGUGAAGGCCGCCCUUGUUGGCGGCCGAGGGGAGAUCCCGUUCUGCUCCGGUAGCUCGGGCGCAUCCCCGGGGCGUCGAAGCCGCGUUGCCGGCUAGACGAACCAAGAGCGUACACGUUGGGACCCGAAAGAUGGUGACCUAUGCCUGGCCAGGACGAAGCCAGGGGAAACCCUGGUGGAGGUCCGCAGCGAUUCUGACGUGCAAAUCGAUCGUCUGAGUUGGGUAUA